CUUUCUUUCCAAAAAAAAAUUAUGGUAUUGCACCAAGGGCUCUCAUAGAAAUAAUGCUUAUAAAAUUUUUUGAGCAUAUAUAUAUUGCUCAUAUUUGCUUGUUGAUUAGCUAUGCUCCCAUUAAGACUCUGACUGAAAUAAACUAUAAAAUGUGGAAACAUGAAAUUAAGCUAGAACUGUAUUUGAUGGAAUUUGGAUAUUGCAUUGAAUAAUGA
rnacentral:lncRNA from 1 species